CAGCCGCCGCGGUAAUACCGGCGGCCCGAGUGGCGGUCACUAUUAUUGGGCUUAAAGCGUCCGUAGCCGGGGUGGGAAGUCCUCCGGGAAAUCUGGCCGCUUAACGGUCAGAAUGCCGGAGGAUACUCCCAGCCUAGGGAGCGGGAGAGGCCGAGGGGAUUCCCGGAGUAGGGGGGAAAUCCUAUAAUCCCGGGAGGACCACCUGUGGCGAAGGCGCUCGGCUGGAACGCGUCCGACGGUGAGGGACGAAGGCCAGGGGAGCAAACCGGAUUAGAUACCCGGGUAGUCCUGGCUGUAAACGAUGCGGACUUUGUGUCGGACAAGCUAUGAGCUUGUCCGGUGCCGGAGGGAAACCGUUAAGUCCGACGCCUGGGGAGUACGGCCGCAAGGCUGAAACUUAAAGGAAUUGGCGGG
rnacentral:rRNA from 1 species